CAAAUGGUAGUUCUAUUUUUAAUUUUUUGAAGAACCUCCAUACUGUUUUCCAAUUUACAUUCCCACCAACAAUGCACAAGCGUUCCCUUUUCUCCAUAUCCUUAUCAACACUUGUUAUUUUUUCUCUUUUUGAUAAUAGCCGUUCUAACAAGUGUAAGGUGAUUAUCUCAUUAUGGUUUUGGUUGGUGUUUCCCCGAUUAUUAGCGAUGUUGAGCAUUUUUCGUGUGUCUUGUUGGCCGUCUAUGUGUCUUUGGAAAAAUGUCUAUUCAGAUUCUCUGCCCAUUUUUUUUUUUAAGAUUUUAUUUAUUUGAGAGAGAAUGAGAUAGAGAGAGAGAGCAUGAGAGGGGGGAGGGUCAGAGGGAGAAGCAGACUCCCCGCUGAGCAGGGAGCCCGAUGCGGGACUCGAUCCCGGGACUCCAGGAUCACGACCUGAGCCGAAGGCAGUCGCUUAACCAACUGAGCCACCCAGGUGCCCUCUGCCCAUUUUUUAAUCUUUUUUUUUUUGCUGUUGAAUGGUUGAAUUCUUUAUAUAUUUUGGAUAUUAACCCCUUAUCAGAUACAUGAUUUGCAAAUAUUUUCUCCCUUUCCAUAGCUUGCCUUUUUGUUUUGUUGACGCUUCCUUUGCUGUGCAGAAGCUUUUUAUUUAUUUAUUUAUUUAUUUAUUUAUUUAUUUAUUUAUUUAUUUAUUUAUGAAAGAGAGAAAGAGUGUGUGUACAUGUGCCUGCACAAGCUGGGGAGGGGUGGAGGGAGAGAGAGAGAGAAUCCCAAGCAGGCUCCAUGCUCAGCACAGAGCCCAACAUGGGGUUCAAUCUCAAGACCCUGAGAUCAUGACCUGAGCCGAAAUCAAGAACCAGAUGCUCAACUAACUGAGCCACUCAGGCACCCCUGUUCAGAAGCUUUUUAGUUUGAUGUAGCCCCACUUAUUUAUUUUUGCUUUUGUUGCCAUUGCUUUUGGCAUCAAACUCAAAAAAUCAUUGCCAAGACUUAUAUCAAAGAGUUUACUGUCUAUGUUUUCUUUUAGGAGUUUUAUGGCUUCAGAUCUUUUUUUUUUUUUUUAAUAUUUUAUUUAUUUAUUCAUGAGAGUCAGAGAGAGAGAGAGACACGCAGAGGCAGAGGGAGAAGCAGGCUCCCCGCCUAGCAGGGAGCCUGAUGCGGAACUCGAUCCCAGGACCCCGGGAUCAUGACCUGAGCCGAAGGCAGACGCUUAACCAUCCGAGCCACCCAGGCGCCCUAUGGCUUCAGAUCUUAUGUUCAAGUCCUUAAUUCAUUUUGAGUUAAUUUUUGUGUAUGGUGUAAGAUGGUAGUCAGUUUCCUUCUCUUACAUGUGGCUGUUCAGUUUUCUCAACACAAUUUAUUGAAAAAAUUGUCCUUUCCCCAUUGUAUAUUCUUGGCUCCUAUGUUGUAAAUUAAUUGACCAUGUAUGCAUGGGUUUAUUUCUGAGCCCUCUAUUCUGUUCCAUCGACUGAUAUGUGUUUUUAUCCAAUACCAUACUAUUUUGAUUACUAUAGCUUUGUCAUAUAGUAUGAAAUCAUAGUUUAAACAUUCCAAAGUGAAGCGUCCUAGGCAAAUGAAAUCAAACUCUGACUUACCUUGGGCAAAAUAGUGAACCUCUCUCAAAUAGGCCAAUCCUACUUACUUCAUGAAGUUGUUUGAAGACUAAAAAAAAAAGUAUGGAAAGGUACCUAGUACACCAUAGUUACUCAUUAAUAGUGAUAUUAUUAUCUUCAGUCUUGGACAAUAAGAGCCCCGGUAACCUGUGGUUGAUUGGAAAGGGAAAUUAAGCCUGAAGGGAGACCUUACGGAUGUUUAAAUUCAAAUCCUUUCCCCAUCCACCUCAUACCUGCUUUAUACAGUAGAUGCAGAGCUGUGAUUUCACCUUGUCCUUGAGUAUUAAUGGGGCAGUGUUGGGGGGGGCGCUGAGAAGGGUGACAAGACAGUGACAAAAUGGCGGCACCUUUCCCCUUAGUGCCAGACACCUGAAGAAUACCUCUACCCCUUCUUCUUUCCUUAAACUCCCUACUAUUUCUUUAAUCACAUCUCUAAUGACUAAUUUCCUUCUUUGAACCUAGAAUAUACAACAGAUUUGAAAAGAAAAAACCCAAUCUGUCUAAAUUACGGGAAAGUUUCACAAAAGCACAAUGACAGGAGUCACAAUUCUCAGUAUUCAUGUCUAGAGAUUAUUACUGUUCUUUGUUUUGCUCAAAUGGAUGGUUAAUUAUUAUCCAGAUUCAGGAAAAAGUGGGCUAAGUACAGUAUUGUUUUAGUUACAUGAUGUGGGUUUGGAAGAUAAGGAAUACUUCAUUAAUAUUGUAAUCCAUCUGGAUGACUAGACAUACACAGGUAACUACACAAUUUAGACAAUUUCAGGAGAUAAGUACACAGACAUUAUGCCCCAAAGUACGAAAUGCUUAUUGCUUUUAAUUCCAUAAAAUGUUUUUCCUUUUAGUACUUGACAUUUUUCUUUAAGACUAUCUCAAUUCCCUAUCUAUCAAAAAUUGGAAAUAAGUUCAGUCAUAAACCAGUGAAAUAUAUCAGUUGGUGAAUUGAAAGUAAUAAAACAGAGGCUUGCCUAAACUGUCCUUUGUUGUAAAUUACACCCGAGGUCUAGAUUACGUCAGCCUAAGGUAUUGAUCACAAUGCUGAGAGGUUUAUAACUACUAUCGACUUACCAUGCGACCCAGGAGCAGAAAUCCAGGAAAAUUGCAAAAGCAUAUCUAUGGUAAUGAAAAGCCCAUCAUUAAUAGAACUUACUAUCCUGUCAUGUGACUAGUACUGUGUUGGCUUCGAGGAAAAUAUUUAACAAAUGCUGGAAACAAGGAUUCAGCUUUCUUUUUUUCCAUUGCGUGCUUCUGAGCUAUUCUGAUAAAUGUGUUUCCCUUCUUACCAAUAAAAAGUACAGGUUUUAAAAAAAGUAACAUGAAUUAAUUAGUCCCAUAUAAAAUUAGCAUCCAAACAUUCAAAUGGCUCCUAAUACUUUUAUUAUUAUUAUUAUUAUUAUUAUUAUUAUUAUUAUUAUUAUUAUUAUUAUUAUUUUAUGUUUUAUUUUUUUACUAAAGAGGUAAUUUCCCUUACAGACUAAUUUGGAAUAGGGCUCACAUCCUAUUCUCUUGGGCAGUGAAUUGCUACCUGGUGAAGCAUUCUGAAAACUAGUUAGUGUUAAAGAAGCAGUUCUGAAAUGGGACUGGAUAUAUUUAAGAUGCAUACACAGCAUGUUUAAGUAAACUAGCUCUAACUGAACAUUGUCUUGAAGCUCUGGAUCCAGACUACAAUGGUAAUUAAUUUUUAUCCUUUUCUUGAAAAGAAGCCUUUUGUCUUUAUGCAUUCACUUUUUCACUGUCACAUGCGUACAUUCUUUUCACCACAUGAACUCCAGGCUGGCAAAAACAUCCACUAAUCCUUGGACCUCUGGGUUGGAACGACAAAAAUGCAUAAAAUCUUACCAGGCCAAAAGAGAUCAACUUUAAAAAUCUUUGGCAUCCAAACAUGUCAGAACUGUUUUUCCCUGAUUCCCCAAGCCAUUUGUGUUCCCCAUUAUGGUCCACGGGACCUAUAAUAUAAGUUCCUACUUUUAUUGGGCAGCCUGGAAUUUUUAAGAACCAUAUUUCAUUUACCUUUCUUGGUUGUUUAUAAUUUUCACAGUUGUCUUAUGGGUUUUCUUUCUGUCUCUAAUUCUUAAAGUAUUAGAAGUGGUAAAAAUAAAAAAAAAGAAGAAGAAGAAGUGGUGAUGGACAGACUGCUCUCUGCCAGCUGAAGCCAUCACUGACGUGUGCCCCUACGUUCUGGUAUAUAUCCGCAUGAAAAAAAAUUUCAGACAAGAAGAUAUAAAGUGGACAGGAAAUAUCCUCUGACCACUCUCUCACACCCUCCAUCCUCGCUUCCUAAAGGGUGUGUAGAUGCUGCUAUGAUCAAUAAACACAUUUACAUGGAUUGGAAGAGGAUGGAGGAGACGUCCUAUCUAUGCAAAGUCCCACCCUCAGCGCCUUGCCUCAGCUCUCCGGCUUCCGACCUCCAGCUUCUCUCCCAAAUGAGUUCCCUUCUGUCCAUGUGUGCAUUAGCGCUCUUUGCCUGCUUCCCCUGCCCCAGCCUCUGCCCCAGUGUCUGCACCUGCGGGCGGUUAGCAACUUCAAUGGUACUUGUCCACUCACAAUGCAUCCUAGCCCAGCUCUGCUCUCAGAACUCUUCUGUUUCAAGUUUUUGGUGCUCUUCUUAAUUUUUCUCCCCAGAAACUGAAAAUCUGAAUGAGCACUUGAUUUUCCUAAUGUUAAUGUGGAUUUAUUUUGAAAAGUUGUCCAGGAUUUUUAUUUUUAAUUUUUUUAAAGAUUUUAUUUAUUUAUUUGAGAUAGUGAGAGCGGGCGAGCAUGAGUGGGGGGAGGGGCAGAGGGAGAAGGAUAAGCAGACUCCCCGCUGAGCAGGGAGCCGGACUCCGGGCUUGAUGCUAGGACCCCUGGAUCGUGACCUGAGCCCAAGAGAGAUGCUAACCGACUGAGCCACCCAGGCACCUCAUCUAGGAUUUUUAGACUGCUUCCUGUCAUAUAACCUCAGAUUUUCAAAACAUACAUAUACCCUGCUAUGACUACUUUUCUCUCUUUUAACAUGUCUGAUUUGAAAGAAUGAGGUAGGAAGGACAAAACUAACAUUUCACAGAAAAGGAAAGAUGGAUGUCCCAUAAAUUUAUGAAAAUACGCUCAUCGUUAUUAGUAACUAGGGAAACGCAAAUCAAAACAAUGAGAUACCAUUUUAUACCCACCACUGGCAAAAAACAAAAACAAAAACAAAAACAGAUGGACUAUACCAAGUGUUGACAAGAAUGUGGAAUGGGGGGGUGGUGCCUGGAUGGCUCAGUCGGUUGGACAUCUGCCUUUGGCUCAGGUCAUGAUCCCAAUGUCCUGGGAUAAAGGUCUGCAUCGGACUCCCUGCUUCUCGGGGAGCCUGCUUCUCCCUGUCCCUCUGCCUGCCACUCCCCCUGCUUGUGCUCUCUCUCUCCGUCAAAUAAAUAAAUAAAAUCUUAAAAAUAAAAAAGAAUGUGGAAUGGGGAACCAUGGGAAUUUGCAAACACUCCCAGUAGGAGUAUAAAUUUGUAUAAUCACUUUGCAUUGUUUGUUAGUAUCCUCUAGUAAGGUUUAGGAUGUGCAUGCCCUGUGACCAAAGAAUUCUAUCCUCAGAUAUAAGAAUAUUCCCAGCAGUAUUAUUCAUAAUGGCAAAAAACCUGGAAGCCCUAUAGAUGUCUAUCAACGAUAGAAUGAAUAAAGGAAUUGUAGUCCAUUCACACAAUGAAAUGUUAUUCAGAAAAAAUUGGAGGGGGUGGGGAGAUAAACAACAUCUACACACAUUUUUAGUUUUGGGUAAAUCUAAGGAAAGAACUAAGUACCAGAAGAAUAUAUAAUAGUAUGGAGUUACACUUAUUU